GCACUGAAUGGAUGUUAAUUCUAUUCUUAUUUAUUAUUUUAGUAAAUACUUUUAAGUCCGCCUUCAAAAAUAUGUUAAAUCUAUUAUCCGAAUAAAAAUUUUAUUGUAACUCACCUCAAUUACUUACCCAUUGGCUGCACUUUGAUUUGUAAUUACCCUAUGAUAAAGAGUGGAAUCUAUCUUAAGAUAAAUUCUAGACAACGGUAUACAAGCUCUAAAGAUAAGUUGCAUUUACUUGGUGGCUGUCAAUUACAUGGUAAGUUCCCCUAAAAUACUUCAUUCAGCCGCCAUAAUAUUUAAGUUUGGACCACAUAUUAAGUAUUAAUCCUUGUUUAUUUAAAUUUAAUUUCCAUAUAAUUGGGUAUCUAAUCCAGGUUUACCUUUGGGAGUUUAGUACACAAGUAAAUAUAAUAUAAACUGUCAACAAUAAUAGUAUUUCACUACAUAUUUAUAUUUUGUAUAUAACUAAUAAACAAUAACUAUAAAUUAGCCUAUUAGGUUUGACCGCGGUUGCUGGCACCUAAUAAACCUAGACUAAAAAAUUAGCUAAAUUUAAAUUUCCUUAAUUUAUUAAUAUCUUUAACUGAGUAUUUAUUUAAAGCUCAUAUUAAACUAGACUGUAUAUUUAUAGCUUUCAUCAUAUUAAAGUGAUUUACUCUAAGGGGGCGUGUAGCCAUUUUAGA
rnacentral:rRNA from 1 species